rnacentral:tRNA from 1 species
GUGAGCGUAGCUCAACUGGUUAGAGCAUCGGACUGUGGAUCCGAAGGUUGGGGGUUCGAGACCCCUCGCUCACCCCA